GAUGAUGCCCAGCUUGCUGGGUUGAUUAGUGGCGAACGGGUGAGUAACACGUGAGUAACCUGCCCCUGACUCUGGGAUAAGCGUUGGAAACGACGUCUAAUACUGGAUAUGAUCACUGGUCGCAUGGCCUGGUGGUGGAAAGAUUUUUUGGUUGGGGAUGGACUCGCGGCCUAUCAGCUUGUUGGUGAGGUAAUGGCUCACCAAGGCGACGACGGGUAGCCGGCCUGAGAGGGUGACCGGCCACACUGGGACUGAGACACGGCCCAGACUCCUACGGGAGGCAGCAGUGGGGAAUAUUGCACAAUGGGCGAAAGCCUGAUGCAGCAACGCCGCGUGAGGGAUGACGGCCUUCGGGUUGUAAACCUCUUUUAGUAGGGAAGAAGCGAAAGUGACGGUACCUGCAGAAAAAGCACCGGCUAACUACGUGCCAGCAGCCGCGGUAAUACGUAGGGUGCAAGCGUUGUCCGGAAUUAUUGGGCGUAAAGAGCUCGUAGGCGGUUUGUCGCGUCUGCUGUGAAAUCCCGAGGCUCAACCUCGGGCUUGCAGUGGGUACGGGCAGACUAGAGUGCGGUAGGGGAGAUUGGAAUUCCUGGUGUAGCGGUGGAAUGCGCAGAUAUCAGGAGGAACACCGAUGGCGAAGGCAGAUCUCUGGGCCGUAACUGACGCUGAGGAGCGAAAGCAUGGGGAGCGAACAGGAUUAGAUACCCUGGUAGUCCAUGCCGUAAACGUUGGGCGCUAGAUGUAGGGACCUUUCCACGGUUUCUGUGUCGUAGCUAACGCAUUAAGCGCCCCGCCUGGGGAGUACGGCCGCAAGGCU
rnacentral:rRNA from 1 species